ACAGGCCUAAACCUUGCAAGUCUGACAACAUGAGGAAUCUCAUGUCCUGAUGAAUCUCUGUGUGUGUUUCAGGAUAACUUCGUUAUCCAGGAUGCAAAGUUUCAUACCGCGGAUAGAGGUCCAAGUAGAACUGCCCAACCACCUGACCAGUGACACGGUCCUUCACACAGUACAGAGUGACAUCAGGAUGCCAGAUGGCGGCUCCGUCCACCAGCUCAAAGGACAGACCUAGUAACUCUUGGUAGAUGUCCAGCAGACCCUGAGUCACCACCUCCAUCGGAAAGUACUCCUUCAACA